rnacentral:lncRNA from 1 species
CUGGCUCACUCGAACCUGGUCCUGGAUCAGCUUUUCUAGCAUUAGAUACUGAUGAGUCAGGCCAUGAGCUCAUACACUCAAUAUUUUGCCCUGAACUGCUCCCCCCCAGCUUACUAUCAUGAAGGUGAGUUGUCUUCUGCUCAGCUGGCUUAACUGCCUUAUUAGAUUCAUCGCCCUGUUCCUUCCUGUUUCUUACUUUAAAAGGCACAAUAUGGUCGCCUGUCUCUCCGUCGUCACCCCAUAUCAUAUUAGUAAGCUGAAAAAAACAGGUUAAACAACAAGGGAUCAGAGACAAGCAAGUAAUGACAUCUACAUGAAUGUAGAACAUGACGUAAGAACUCGAGACCAAGCUCAGAUAACUUGUAAAAAUUCAGAUCCUCCUUAUUCAAAGCCUAAACCUUGCUCUUGUCUGUGAAAUGGGGAUAUAAGGCUACAUAGCCAUGAAAGGUUUCAUCUACAUGCGACCAAAACUAAAACAGAGAGGAGAAGCGUGAAAAUAGAAUUUACCUCUUCGUCGUCCCAAUCAAACAUGACUAGAGAAACAGAGUCCAAUCACAGACCCCAAAUCACUCUCCUCUCUGAUUCCUCCACACAUCGCCCACUCCACCACGAUAAGAAAAAAAAAAUACCCACAAAAGAAAAAGUCGCUUAACGUAAUUCUCAAGAGUUAAAAACCGAUAAAAAAAUUAAUUAAAAUAAAAAAUUAAACCGAAAAAGAGUAAGCCUGCAAAAACCUGGAUUCAGAAUCCUUCAUGCUGUUGCUUCAUCUGGAUAAUGGGAAAAAAAAAAGGAGAGUUACUACAGAACAUGUUUGGGAAAGUGGGGCCCAUUUAGGAAGUGUCACGUGCCGAACGAGUGGCUGAGAGAGUAUGGACGGAGUUAGGAUGCCACGUCACACGAGAGUGCGUAUCUAAACAUGUGGCUGAGAGUGUGUGUCAAUAACUACGACAUUUCCACUACCCAGCUCACCACCUCUCAUUUUGACUUUCACUUGCUGAGAGCUGUUUUAUUUUCCCCGCUUUCAAAAAUAAUAAUAAUUAGAGAUACACACAAACUUAUACUAUUAUCUACUCUUAUAUUUUUCUUUAGUUUUUUAAACAAUAUAUUUUUCGUUAGUUAGUAAAUAAAAUAGUUUCGGAACUUUUAUUUGAAAGGCUGGAACCAGGGAGAUUUGGUGGGGUAGGAGUUAAUAGAGACCACUAGUAGGGGGAGGGGAGAGACUCACAGAGUGUGGAGUGUUAUACUGUUGGCCAAGCGCAUCACCACCUUUCACCAUCUGAACACCAGGCGUUGCAUGAAUCAUAGACGGAUUCACAUACCCGCAUUUCCAAGACGCUGGAUUAACGGAGAUGAAUCCCAUCACGAAAUCUGAAUGAGCCUCUGCGAUCUUCACGGCUGCUGCAGUGUAGUCUCCUGUAGCAAGGUUACCAGCAGAGCUCAUCUCAGCUAGCAAAAGCAGACCCUUACCACGAGGCAAACCCUGAAACCACAGGAUGACCUCAAAAUGUAAGUAAAAACGAAAGGAUCAAUGAGAAUCCGGUAACAAAUGAUUACAAAUAUACCUUCAACUUCAGGCCAUCAACGAUUCCUGGUCCUGAUACUAUGUGAGCGUUAAUGAUAUCAGCCCACUCUAAUAUUUUAAAGACGCCUCUGCAAACAAACCGCGGCAGAAAAAACUUUAUGAAAGUUUUUAUAACAGAUAUCAAUGGAGAACAAUGAGUGAACACAACGUAGAAAACUGACCCUUCAUACUGCAUUGUUACGGUGUUACCAAUGUCUGCAAACUUACGAUCCUCAAAUAUGAGAAACUUGUGCUUGUCUGCGAUCUGAAGUAACAUCAACAAUCGAUCAACAACAGCCAAAUCAUAGCUAGUUGGAUGAUCUAGGGGAACUUAAAGAACUUCAGUAUUACUAUAGCAUACGACUUAUGUUUCUAUCGUAGAGAGAUUACAUCGGACUACUGUUUUAAGUAGUACUAUCCCUCAUAUAACUUCACUAUAGCAUAUGACUCAUGCUUCUAUCGUAGAUAGAUACAACAUGAACAUACUUUGUGCAAACAAACCUAUCAAAUAAUCAAGAUGCAACUAAACUUACCGCACGGAGUUUAGAGCCAAAGUCAGAGGUGAAAUCAGGCAAAAUGUCAACAUGAGUCUUCAACAUACAUAUCUCUGGUCCCACCUUCAUCAACACAAACAUUUCAAAGAUCAUUAACACAUAAACCAUAUGAUGCACAUUCAGAUAAAAAGAGUCAAAAGAAGAGAGAUUCUUUACCUUGUCUGCAAUGUCAAGCAACUCAGCAGCAGUUCCAACAUCAGCAGCUAAGCAGAGAUUAGUCUCUUUCUUCACCAUAACCUCAAACAGCUUCUUCCCCAUGGGAUUCCUACAAAGCUCCGACCUUUCCUUAAACCCUAAAACCCUAUCCUCACCCUUCACCUUCUCCACACUCGGCACACUAACCCUACGAUUCUCUUCCAAAAACCUAAUCAAACUCGCCUCAACCCCCUCUUGAAUCUUCCCCUUCUCCCUCAAAACCCUAACCAUAUCCGUCAACCUAAUCAUCGAAUGAAGCCUAAUCCCAUUCUCCUCCAGAUUCUCCCUCCCGCCCUGCUGCCUAUCGAUCAACACCACCGCGUCGCUAACCCUAAGCCCAACCCCGCGAAGAGGCGCCGCCGUCUCCAGCACGGACCCCCCGCUCGUCACCAAAUCCUCGAUAAUGAGGCAAGUCUGAUCCUUCUCGAAGACUCCUUCGAUGGCUUUGGAAGUGCCGUAGUCUUUGAUCUCCUUGCGGCGCAUGAGCAUGGGGAUGUUGUUGGAGACGGAGACGACGGUGGCGAUGGGGAGGGCGGUGUAGGGGACGCCGCAGACGACGUCGAAGGAGGUGGUGGGAGGGAGGGAGGAGAUUAGGGUUUGGGAGAUUUGGGUGAGGAGGGAAGGGUAGGAGACGAUGAGACGGAGGUCGAUGUAGACGGGGGAGUAGAUUCCGGAUUUGAGUUUGAAGUUGCCGAAUUUGACGGCGCCGAUCUCGUGGAGCUGCAGGAUUAGGGAUUCCAUCGCUGACAACAUUGUGAGGGGACUUGGCAGUGACUGAGUGCACAGUGGAGAGUGUGUGUGCGCUUUUUAUACUUUAGGUUUUGUUUUUUUUUGUUUUAUGGGAUUUUUGAUCAAUAAUCACAAAUUCUUUUUAACAUAAUUUAAAAUCAUUAAAAAAAUCAAAUUUUAGCAAAGAUGAAAUUCAUACAAUUAAUUAAAAAUUAUAUAAAUUUGGAAAAACAAUUUUUUUUUAUGUUUAAAACUAUAAAAACAUAAAUCUUGUUAUUAUGUUGUUGAGUUUAAACUUUUUAAGCAUGGAUUUAUGACAUAUCUGGUUCACAUUUAUAUUUGAUUUUACAUGUUAUUAUAGAAUAACUUAUUUUGCAACUUACUUUUAAUUCAUACUCUGAAUUAGAAACUAGUUUUUUUUAGAUUUUAAUGAAUUAACAUUUUUUUUAAGGCAUAAGAAAAUUCAAAUAUCUAUUAGAAUUCUUCUAUGUUGGAAACAAAACUGAAGAAUACAUUAAAAUUUGUAUAAAACAAGUAGGUCUGCUUCGACUAUGCACAGAGCUUCCCACCUUUUGUAUUCUUUGACUAACAGAUGUUUUUUUUUGGUGUUCGGAUUCCUUAUCUGCAGGAGAACACGAUGGGUUGAAGAAGAAACAGGUUGUGAAAGAUCACAUACAGUAAGAGCCUCUUGGGUCUUUUGUCACACGCAUAACUGAAGAAAAGAUAUUCUUGCAGUGUGAGACAUUUUUACUUCUCCUGAAAAUAGACUGAUUGUUACGAGUCUAGUAGUUAUGUUUGUCCUUGGUGAUAUGCUUACAAAUAUAAUAAGAGAUCAAAUCUGGUUUUGAAAAGAAAAUUGUAAGAGCAAACUACAUGAGUUUUCCAAAAUGUUUUCUCAUGGAAAUACGUGUAAUAAGAAAGGGUAUUCAACAAUUAAAAAAAACAAAAAGAAAACAUUUAAUUACAUGAAAGGAGUAAACAGGAGAUUGUUUCUAGCAAUGCAGAGAGAUGUUGCCUACGCUGCAGAUUUCCUCAGGCUGCUCUCUAACACCGCAAACCUAAACUGAUAGUUGACAAAAGCAACACAUGAACAUUAGUUACCAAUGAAUCUGCAUACAAGCCCCUAUAUGAACGAAUAUGAAAUGGCAUGGGACGCAAUAUUAUAUACCCUUUCUAUACUUCACAACUUUCUUUUGUUUCCUUGGGAUGCUUCAUUAACCCUCUCACCAACAGUGCUACUGGAUCCUGAGUUGGAUGCAUACCCUAAAGCAGUUGAACCUGCAGGUACAUCUUCCUCUUUUGCUUUCUGCUUAUUCAUGUGACUCUCUCUUGUGCUAGGAAAACUCCCUUUUACUUCAGUUCCCAUCUUCGAAGAAGAUGGUGAUUCUAGUCCUUCCGUAUGCUUUGCCGCAGACAUAUCAAAAGGCCUAUGAAAGAGCAAAUGAGCCACAGUUCUGUCUGUGGGAUUGGUCACAGUUUCGGUGUCUAGCAUCCCUGCAUAUCUGAAAGAACAAAAACCAAGAGCUAGCUAUGUAAACCACAUACUGUAUUGGUUUUGAUGAUGAAGUUUUAUUUAAAAUGCAAUCACGUAACAAAGAACUGCGACAGCACAUGAAAAGAGUGUUAAUGCAUAUGCUUGCAGCAUUCAGAUGGUCUUUACUGCGUAAAUUGAUUCAUUCAGAACAAUGGACAUAUGCUAAUCAUGGAUAAAUAGUUUUUCCUAUCUCACACUUAUCAUACAUAAAAGGCUACCCCACAUUCACAAAACUGUAUGUGUGUAGUUCACAUGAUCUAACUAAGAACCAUAUAUAUAUAUACCAUAUUGAUUAAUAUGCAUAGAUUUGCUUACCUAUAUCUGGAUUUUUCUUGAGGAAUAACCUCCUGGUCAUCCUGGCUAGUCUUAUUACUGUGGGGUGUAUCACUAGUGUGAUGUCUCUGACCUGCGCUAUCAGCCAAACGGAAUAAGCUAUCCCUUAUACAAGUCCUUGUUUCCAUAUCUAACUGCAGGUCAAUAAGUAGUAUUAGUUCCUUCCAACGUAAAGGCCAAUACAAAGUACUGUAGGAUUAUGGCUUCAUCUUUUUUUAACAUAACAAACCAGUUGAGGACCCUUGCUACAACAUCUUAAAGCCGAUAAAGAACCGAGAAUUCUGAUGGAUUAUCAACAGCAGCAGCAGCAAAGUUUCCAGAAUCAUCUAGUUCCAGAGAUGAAUUGGGAUCAAAGGAAGGUAUUGCGGUUAGCCCUUGAAGACUAGUUUUGUCGACAAGCUGAGUAAUGGACUGAUCUGCUACAGGAACUUGGUGACGAAAUUGCUGCUGUUGUCUCUGAAUAGCAAGCAUCGCCUGCAUUUGCUGUCUGCGCCUAAGUUUUUCUAGUUUUUCCUGCGGCGUCAUUGUUGAAGGUCGUGCAGAGGCAGCAUCCGUUACCAUGUUUGCAGAGAUGGCAGUAGUAGGAUUGUAGGAAGGAUGCAUCAGCUGAUUCUUGUUAACAUCAGGACGUUGGAAGGCUGAAACUACAGGCACAGCAGAAUAUGGAUUACCAAAACCAGAAGUAGCCAUGUAUUGGUUUGGCAUAUGUGGAUAAUGUGAUGUCCCAGACCCUUGAGACUCACUCUGCAGAUUGACACCCAUCAUAGAUGAUCGUGACGGUCCCAACUGGUUUACAAAUUUUCUCCUGGACAGAGUCCUCUGACCGUACGGAUCUUGAGAUGCCCCUGCCUCAUGAGUCCCCAACAUUUCUGAAAACUUCAACAUUUUGUUUUGUUGAUAUGGCUGAACAGAAAAAAGAAAUGAAAGAAGUAAGAUUCAAUGGAACUGUAAAAAUCACAAUGCAUAAGAAUCUAAGGGCAUCCGCAUUUGUGAGUCUCUCGCCAAUUAUAUUAAUAUUUAAUUGGUGAGUCUCUUAGAAAAGAUGAUAGAAACUAUGCAACAAUACGUUCUUUCAUUCAAUUUAUUAUAAGCGUGUGAGCAAUAUCCCGAAGUCUGCAGUGCAUAGUACCUGGUCAUCAACUGAGGAUUGUCUCUUAUGCUCAUGAUAUUGCUCAGCUUUUGGGGUUACACGAACUCUAGGCGCACUUUGGGAUGAUGGACCACCAUUGGUUUCUCCAGUCAAUGGAAACUGCUGGUUCUCUUGUUGUUCAAACUCAGUUCUAAUAUCCAAUCCUAGAUCUUGAGAGUCCAAAAUGGAUGGUAACGGCUUGGAUACAUCUUUAGAAGAAGACCAUAACUCAUCUGCACCGCUGAGAGUGCCAUCGCCAAAUAUAGGGACAUCACUACUGCAAAAUCACCACUUGUGAGGAUAUUGUGUUAGAUAGAGAACCCAUUAGUAGGCAAUCCAGAGGUUGGUUAGCUCAAUCAGGAUGAGAACAAGACAUACCUGAACAUUCGAUCAAGAUCAUCAAAGCUACCAAUGUUAGCCCAUCCAUACUCAUCGAAAUCACCUUGCUCUUUACUCUCAUCAGUGCUAUGAAAAAUAUCAGGGCCUUUCCCAAGUUCAGACGCUUUCUCUGGUAAAAACAAGGCGACCACACACACACACACACACUUUAAACAUGAUUAGAAUUUGAAAGAACGUACCCAAGUAAAACAGCACUGUUUCAAGAAACGCACCACUUCUUGUUGAAUCAUAUCUAGCUGGCUCACUCGAACCUGGUCCUGGAUCAGCUUUUCUAGCAUUAGAUACUGAUGAGUCAGGCCAUGAGCUCAUACACUCAAUAUUUUGCCCUGAACUGCUCCCCCCCAGCUUACUAUCAUGAAGGUGAGUUUUACUUUCAGCUGGCUUAACUGCCUUAUUAGAUUCAUCGCCUUGUUCCUUCCUGUUUCUUACUUUAAAAGGCACAAUAUGGUCGUCUGUCUCUCCCUCGUCACCCCAUAUCAUAUUAG